rnacentral:rRNA from 1 species
UACAGGGGGGGCAAGCGUUGUUCGGAAUUACUGGGCGUAAAGGGCCAGUAGGCGGCCAACUAAGUCCGACGUGAAAUCCCCCGGCUUAACCUGGGAACUGCGUCUGAUACUGGAGGGCUUGAGUAUGGGAGAGGGAUGUAGAAUUCCAGGUGUAGCGGUGAAAUGCGUAGAUAUCUGGAGGAAUACCGGUGGCGAAGGCGGCAUCCUGGACCAUUACUGACGCUGAGGCGCGAAAGCUAGGGGAGCAAACGGG